GUCAACUUUUAAGUGCUACAAAACUACUGUACUUCUCUGAAGGUGUUUUCUGCCCUAUGGGCUUUUAGCAGCUAGCUGAGAUAAAGGUAAGCGCUGUUACUCUAUUUACGAGGAGACAGUAAUUUUAGCUUUUGAGCACAACGUGGAAUGUUUUCACCCUUUUAAGGAAACAGAGUUAACUGUAGUCUAUUUUAUGCAUAUUUAAAAUGUUGUUCAUACAUUGUCUGACUGAUUUCAAAAGAAGGAAGGCGAUCAAGUCAAUAGAUCUGUUGAGAGAUUUCUGCCUUACUUGACAUGAUUUGUCUUUCUCUGUAUUUUAACUUAAUUGUGCAGAAUGUUUACAAAUGCAUUUUAUUUGCUAAAGAACAUAUUCUAAGAAUCUGUAUAGACAUACAAAACAUAUAGGUAGUUAAGCAUAUUGCUUUUCUUGCACUUUACAGUAGGAUGCCAGAGUAAGGCUAUUCUCAUUCUGCACUUAAAAGUAGUUGAGUUAAUGGGAUUUGAAUUUAUAAUUAUAACGUUUUUUUCCUGUACAUUUGUAACUAAUAAUUCUUUUUUGGUUUAUGGGAUUGCUCGUAACUAUCAGUAAAGGGCAAAUACAUCCAAAAACACUGGCUGAAAUAGUUAUCUGCGACCAUUAUUAAUUCAGAUGUGAUAUUUUAGUAGAUGGAUCAUCUUUUUCCUUCAUAUGGUAUUUAUCAUGAGGUAGAUAUGCUAACAGUGCAGUAGGUCCAACUCAUUUCAGUCGAAUAGUCCUACUGCAGCCAAGAGCAGGCCUAUAUGUAGAGUUUUGUAUUCUAAAAUAAAGACUAUAUAUGUUAAUAAUGUCUUUCAUAAAUGAGCAUAGCACAUCUGACAUUAUGUUGUUGCGUCAUGACCACUUUUCAAUUAUUUAAUUUUUAUUUCUACUGAGUUUCCAUUUCUUUUCUACUGUAAUCCUUAUAUAUGUAUGUAUAUAUAUACGCAUACGUAUAUAUAUAUAUAUAUAUACACACAUAGCCUUUAGUAUCUUCAGUAACUUAGUCCUGUUACAUCUAGCAUUUUUCAAGUGUGAUUCUAGCUGACAGUUUCUAUACUAUAUUCAAAUUUAUAUUUUUAUGUUUAAAAAUAUAAUGUAGUUUAAAGUGUUAAAGACAAGGUCUGACAGGAAAAUUUGUUUCUGUUAUUAUCAGUGACGCAACUACUUUUGCAUUCAGGGAUGUGUUAGGAAUAGAUUCAUGCUUAAGCUUCCUUUUUCGCUUCCUUCUGAGGUCAAAAAAGGAAUACUGUCAGCUUAGAUGAAUGCUUUGGUUUGAAAAUUUUAUAACAUAGAAUCACAAGCAAUUGCAAUCACUGGAUCUUGAGAGAGCAAUCUGGUGUAAAGGUAUACUUUUAGCUAUCGUGAAAUUAUACAGUAUGGACUAUGUGGUAAUCCUAUAUGUAAACACUGAACUCCUGGAUAGUCAAAGAUCUCAUUUCCUGUUCUUCAACUACUUUGGAAACAGUUUUCUCCUUUAUGUAAUUUUGCAGUUAGUAAAGAUGCCCCUACUUUAUCUUGAGCAGAGGUCGCCAGAUUUCUGGUGUUUUUCCACACCUGAUGCCAUAUCUACUUUGUUGUUUUAUAUAAUUCUGUUUAAUUUCAUCUAUGAAAUACAUUCAUUGUAAGGUUUUAUUGGAAUGCCUCAAUAUGCCUCAAUUAUGUAACUCUGCACUUUGAUUUGUUUCAUUAUAGAAUGUUUAAUGCCAUCUGCUCACUUAAAAUGAAUCCAGACUUGCAGGGUAAGGAUUUUUCUCAUUUCUUACCAACUUUUCUCAGGAGAUAUUUCUGUUUCUGUUUACAUAAAGACUACUGAAUUGUAAUGAAGUCACACAAUUCUCAGAAUCUCUGUGCUAUAAAACCUAACUGACAAAUUACACAGCUGUGUUGCCAUGCCUGUUUUUAGAUCUGUCAUGUCACCUUCCCUGCCAUUACCACCUUGAUUCAUGGAAUGAUCAAACAUGCAAGGGUUAUGUUUCCAAGUCUGUAGUAUAUGUAUAUUCUCUUCAUGUGUUCUAGAAUAGGCAUGAAGGAUGGCUGUACACUCCCAAUUCAAGUAUAAAAUUGUAGGUAAUAUCUCAUCUGCUACACAGCAAGUAGUGCACAAUACAAAAUUAAAGGUAAUCAGCUGGAGAUGUCAAGAAACUUUUCCUGUACAUGUAGGAAUUCUUCUGUCUGCAUCUCAACAAAAGUCAUUUAUGUGUUUUGAAGUAGUAUUUGACUCCCUGCAAAAUGAUUGCAUGCUGGUUUUCUGUCCAAGAGGAAGGUUGCAUCCUUAUGAAAAUGUGUUUAGUUGUUCUGUCCUGCCAAGUUGUCUCUCAUACGUAAUAAGCCUGAUGUAUUUUAUAUUUAAUUCUAUUUACUUAUUUGUUUAUUUAUUUAUUUAUUUGCUGUUGACUUGUAUGCUCUUGCAAGUUAAGUCUGCACUAUUGAUUGACUGGCAUGAAAUGCUCUACUAUGACACUAGAUAUUGCCAAUAAGGAUGACCUUGAACAACAGAUGUAGUGAAAACAAGUGUAUAGCAAAUGGCUAUUAAAACAGAUUCUCCCCAUUUAGAAAGCCAUCUUGCAUGUGGAAAGUAUUCAAUAUGGAUUAUGUUUAAGUUUCUAAUGUUUUAUAUUCUUUCUUAAAGAAAGAAAAUAAACGUUUCGGACUUAAUCUAUAGUCCAAUGAAAACUGCAAGAAUCAUUAUUUCUUUCAAAAAUGCUUUGGAUCACAUUACUGAAGAAAGAGAACUGAUACUGCAAGGGAGUAAAAACUCAUUUUUCACACUGUAUGACAUGCUACUCUAGGUAUUGAAAUAGUACCGUGAAACAUAAUGUGACAAGAGCAGGAGUAGACAGAUGGUAUCAUAGAUAGAGCUUAUUUCUAUCUUCUGCAUCUGGGAAACCAGCAGAGCCUAUAAUUUGCUGACUAUUAACAUUAGUCUGGGACAGUUGUGUGGAACCAUUGCACACAGAUUGGCCCAUUUCCAUUCUAAACAGGUAGAGAGUUACAUAAAUUAUUUCUGCUCUGUUACGCAUUUUAUGUAUUGCUUAUGCUAUUGUGAUCAGCCUUUUUGUUGUUGUUCUUGUGCAGCUCUAGAUAUGUGUGUAAAGAAGCAGGCAUAAGUCAAGUUCUGAAACACUUUCAGGAAAUCAUGCUUUAGUGAUGUAAAAUGGAAGAGCUGAAAUAAUGUAAGGGCAUAGGAUUUAACUGAGAAACUUGAGUGGAAUGACUAAGCAGAGAUGUCAAAAGCUAAUUGCUUUGGUAAGGUGCUUAUCUUAAGAGACAAUUCCAGAUGUUGAUCUUGGCAGAAAAUUUGUUUAAUGCUUCAAACAAAAGACAUCCAAAACAAUAACCCCGCUGUACAGACUAAUGAACUGUUCCAUGCAGAAAAGCAUCUCUACUCUGAUCAAGAAUGUCUUUUGCCUAGAAAUAUUUCAGUAUGAUCCUAGAUAGAAGUGUAUAUACUGCAUGUCCAUUUUUCUGAGACUUAAUUCCUGAAGAGGCAUACGUGCUUUGUCUACUAAUACUAUUUUUCUGACUCAUCACACCACUGGCAAUAAGACCAUUUUCCUCACAAAGCUAUGGGAAAAAGUGUUUUCAUGUUUAUCAAAUUUGUCAGAAUUUCCCUUGAAAAAAAAUUGUUGUGGGUUUUGACCAAGUCAAAAUUUAAUUAUUUCUGGUUUUUGUUUGUUUGUUUGUUUGUUUGGUUUGUUUUUUAAUUAACUACUGUGUUUGGUUUUGUUUUGUUUUUUUUUCACAGAGGCUUUUAAUGACAUUCAGAGCUCUGUCUACAGAACAGCCCUAAAACUACGCUCACUACAAAGUCUGUGCCAGUGUUAGUAGAUGAAGAAAAUUAUGUGCUUUGACAGGAAGAGGAAUCUGUAAAAAUUCUGUGUUGCUGUCACCUUGAGUUAUUACACUACUUUCCUCUCUCAUUUUCCACCUGAAAAAUUCAUAGUGCACUAUAAACACCUAAGAGCUAGAUAGUUCUUUGUAUACAAAUCAGUUUUUUUCCCUGUUUGAACAUACAUUGGAAUACAUGAGAAAAAUUCUAAAUGUAUGAGAGAACUGAGGUGUUAUUUCUAUCAACAUUGUUAUGUAGACAUCACUGGCAAUUAAUCCCUCUUUAUAUUAUCUGUAGGAGUUGAGUUAUUGGAAGUAAUCAUAGGUGAUCAAAAAUGUGUUUACAGGCACUAGAAGUAUUAAUGAGAAUUACUAUACUCCAACAAGAUUAAUAUUAUGUGCAUAUAUUAUAAUGUUACAAGUAUUAAUUAGAAACAUUGUAAGUAUUAAUGAGAACAAACCAAAAUAUGACAGGCAGAAAACCCAGCCUAGCUCUCAUUCUCUCUGGCUUUGAACAUAUUUGGGCAUAUUAACUGACUAGUUAAGUUAGCCAUCCUAUGACCUUAUUCAUCUAAGUAAAAAUGCCUCCUGAUUAAAAAAUAGACAUUACCUAUGGACCAGAAUGCAUAGAGCAGCGUUUUACUGCUACUGUCUUCUCACUGACAGCAAGUUUAGAGGGUAUGUGUUUAUUUUUAAAAAUUUUUUGUGAAGUUACAAAUUCUACAUGAAUAAUGUAGUAACCUUACAGUUCAACGAGAGCAGCAGAUAGAGGUAAGCUAUAAGAAACAUGCAGAUGUCACCGUAUUUUCAAAAGUGAUACUAGAACAACUGUUUGUUUGGGGUUUUUUUGGACUGAAUUUCAUUGCAGCAAAUUAAUAAUAGCAAAGAUCAUGACUGGGUUCUGGAGAUUACUCCAUUAUCACGUGCACAAGAUAAUGCUUGCUAUUCAGAAAAUGCAGGUGAAAAUCUUUAUUCUAACUUAGGUGCUUCUCUGCAUUUUAGAAUGCAGGGAUGUGAAUUUCUAGUAGUCAGGCUCACUUACAUUGAGUUCUCAGUUGCAAGAAAGUAACUUAAUCCUUUUCUUUACUUUUACAGGUAUCGCUGUCUGAAGUGCCUGAAUUUUGACCUUUGCCAGGACUGCUUUUUCACCGGCCGUCUCAGCAAACCACAUAAGAGUUCACAUCCUGUUGUGGAACACUGUGUGCAGAAACAAGUGAGCUACCAGUGAAAAUACAGUUUCCCAUCCACAUGCUGGUGGAGGCCCUACUAGAAGAGCUCAGCUUUCCGACAAAUUACACCUCAGUUCACAUCACCUUGCAGACAAGACAACUUUUGUCUUGUAGGUGAUGUCAGGUUAUAUUUGCAGAAAUAAAAGGAUGAAAGUGACUGUACCAGGUAUCAUCUGACACUGGGUCCAGAGUUUGUACCUGUUCCUUAUGCUUCUUCAUAGCAAUGCAAGGAAGAUAUUUGGGUCUCGGAAUCACUUAGAAACACAUCCAGAAUUUGAGUCAUCCUCUGCUAAGCUGAUAACUGAAGUCAAGGAGGGCUGAUAUAUCCUCUAAAACGGGAGCUGUUUCUCAUUGUGUUGGAAUGCAUUUUCUCAGGAGUGAUGGCAGCAGAGGAACACUGACAAAAUGGCACCUGACAUCCAGGAAGUGC